rnacentral:tRNA from 1 species
GGUUAUGGCUCAGUGGGGGAGUGCUCGCCUGGCAAGUGCAAAGCCUGGGUUCAAUCCUCAGCACCA